UUAUAUUUGAGAGUUUGAUCCUGGCUCAGGAUGAACGCUGGCGGCGUGCCUAACACAUGCAAGUCGAGCGAUCUCUUCGGAGAGAGCGGCGGACGGGUGAGUAACGCGUGGGUAACCUGCCCUGUACACACGGAUAACAUACCGAAAGGUAUACUAAUACGGGAUAACAUAUAAAAGUCGCAUGGCUUUUGUAUCAAAGCUCCGGCGGUACAGGAUGGACCCGCGUCUGAUUAGCUAGUUGGUAAGGUAAUGGCUUACCAAGGCAACGAUCAGUAGC
rnacentral:rRNA from 1 species